rnacentral:rRNA from 1 species
GAUGAACGCUGGCGGCGUGCGUAACACAUGCAAGUUGUACGACGGUGCCAUGAAGUGGAGACGCGGAGUGGUAUACGGAGUAGCGGACGGGUGAGUAAAGCAUGAGGAGCUGUCCUGUCGAGGGGGAUAACGUUCGGAAACGGACCCUAAUACCCCAUAGUCCGAGAGGUUAAAGGCAGAGAUGCGCGACGGGAGGUACUCGUGUCCUAUCAGCUAGUUGGUGAGGUAACGGCUCACCAAGGCGACGACGGGUAGCCGGCCGGAGAGGGUGACCGGCCACACUGGAACUGAGAUACGGUCCAGACUCCUACGGGAGGCAGCAGCUGGGGAAUAUUGGGCAAUGGGAGGAAUCCUGACCCAGCGACGCCGCGUGAACGAAGACGGCCUUCGGGUUGUAAAGUUCUUUUAUGUGGGAAGAAGGAAGUGACGGUACCACAUGAAUAAGCCCCGCUAA